rnacentral:lncRNA from 1 species
AUGUCUGGGACUCCACCACUGAGUCAAAGAAACUCCCAAGUUUUUGAUACACAUCUUAGACCUGUCCACCAGCCACUGGAAAUGACAACCCUCCUGACAUCUUCAAGGGAUGUCCAGUGUCUUAAGUACCUCUUUUUCUUUGUUUCUGCAUAUAGAUAUUAUCUGCAGAUCCUAUACUUACAUUUAAUUCUCUUUAAAACUUGUUUUAUUCUGUUUAGCCCAAUUUAAUAAUCAUUUUCAGAGAAUUUCAUGUAUACGUAUUUUACUUUAUCACAUCAUCUUUCAAAUAACUCAGCUAAUAUUUAUUUAAACUCCCUUUAACCUUUAAUGAAAUGCCUAGGAUGUAGUUUCAGAAAAGGAAAGGCAUAAAAUAUUUUAGGCUAAUUGCAUUGUUUUCCUCUCAGCAAGUAGUUGGGCAGAUAUAAUAGUAACCAUAACCUGACUAUUUAAUUUCUUCAGAGCAGAUUCUGAAUUUUGUUCAUCAUUGUAUUCCCAGAACCUAGUACAAGUGUAUGUCAUAUUUAGGGCUUAUUAAUGUGUUUUCUUUUUUUUUUCCCAGGGAAUGCAUGGUUUUGAGGGGCUUCCCAGGGAGGUGCAGUGGUAAAGAAUCCUCCUGCAAUGCAGGAGAUGCAACAGAUGUGGGUUUGAUGCCUGGGUCAGGAAGAUCCCCUGGAGGAGGAAAUGCCAACCCACUCCAGUAUUCUUGCCUGGAAAAUUCUAUGGACAGAGGAACCUAGAGGUCUAAAGCCUGUGGGGUUGCAAACAGUCAGACACAACUUAGAAACUACACAACAGCAACAAUCAAAGAUUCGCCGAGACAACAGUAAUAAAAGAUGGCAGCGUAUAGCCUACCUGGAGAGAAAACUCAACAUGCAUAGAGGUGAGCAUUGGUCUGAUUUUAAUUUGUGAUCCAAAAAAAGAAAAAAGUUCAGGAGUAGCACAGUUUUAUAUUUGGAUGUUGUACCCAAGUGAAUAGGGACAGGUCGCCUUAUUUACAAAGCAAUUAAGAUAAUCAAAGCCAAGCCAAGACUAGGCUGUACUGUGGUGUGAAAGAUACCAUAAACAUCAUUUGCAUCUGUGUGUAGACAGUUGUUCAGCUAUAACAACGGUAGAAGGCUUGAAUUUGGUCCUUCAUUCUUUCAAAGUAAUUGCAGCUCGAUUAUGAAUCAGUGAACACAAUAUAUCCAGUCACUUGACAGAGGCAGUAAUAGGCUAAAUUAAUAGAAUAAGAGACUUAACUAAAGACCAAGGUUAUGUGUAUGGCAGUAUCAAAUCUAAUACAAAUUUAAUCCACAGGGGAAAAUGGUCAUUUCACAAAUACAUGAAUACAUUUAAACCAUUAGGAUUUACAAAAAUAAAAUGCUACUUCAGUCAUUUGAGUUUCACAUCUCCAUUUUUUCUUAAAUUGCAUGUCCAUAUGCAUAUGCCACAACCAAGAUUUACUAAUAUUUGAAUUUUGUACUUCUGCUGU